AGUGAGCGGGAUGAGCUCAAAUUUAAAAUCUGGCUGGUUUACUAGUCCGAAUUGUAGUUUAAAGAAGCGUUUUCGGUGGCAGCCUGGGUAUAAAUCCUUUGGAACAGGGUAUCAUAGAGGGUGAGAAUCCCGUCUUUGACUCAGUGCAUGCUACUAUGUGAUACGUUUUCAAAGAGUCGAGUUGUUUGGGAAUGCAGCUCAAAAUGGGUGGUAAAUUUCAUCUAAGGCUAAAUAUUGGCGAGAGACCGAUAGCGAACAAGUACCGUGAGGGAAAGAUGAAAAGAACUUUGAAAAGAGAGUUAAACAGUGCGUGAAAUUGUUGAAAGGGAAACGCUUGACACCAGUCAUGCGAGCGGAAAAUCAGUCUUUUGCAGUGGGGAGUUGUGUGGGUUCGGACCGCAAGGCCGGCCUGUGCUGCAUCUCUGCUGUAAGUGAUGCACUUUUUCGUUUGCAGGCCAACAUCAGUUUCUUCUGCUGGACAAAACUCUUGAGAAGGUAGCAGCUUAGGCUGUGUUAUAGCUCUUGAGCGAUACAGUGGAGGGGACUGAGGUUUUCGCAGCGCGUGCUCUCGGGCAAGGCUGAUUGGGUGCUAUGGGAUCGUUCGGUGUACAAUGCAUGCAUUUUGCGCCGUGUCUUUUCUAUACUCGCUCAACUCGGCUCUCCGCG
rnacentral:rRNA from 1 species